AGAUUGAACGCUGGCGGCAGGCCUAACACAUGCAAGUCGAGCGGAAACGAGUUAUCUGAACCUUCGGGGGACGAUAACGGCGUCGAGCGGCGGACGGGUGAGUAAUGCCUAGGAAAUUGCCCUGAUGUGGGGGAUAACCAUUGGAAACGAUGGCUAAUACCGCAUAAUGCCUACGGGCCAAAGAGGGGGACCUUCGGGCCUCUCGCGUCAGGAUAUGCCUAGGUGGGAUUAGCUAGUUGGUGAGGUAAUGGCUCACCAAGGCGACGAUCCCUAGCUGGUCUGAGAGGAUGAUCAGCCACACUGGAACUGAGACACGGUCCAGACUCCUACGGGAGGCAGCAGUGGGGAAUAUUGCACAAUGGGCGCAAGCCUGAUGCAGCCAUGCCGCGUGUGUGAAGAAGGCCUUCGGGUUGUAAAGCACUUUCAGUCGUGAGGAAGGUGGUGUAGUUAAUAGCUGCAUUACUUGACGUUAGCGACAGAAGAAGCACG
rnacentral:rRNA from 1 species